GGGGAAUAUUGGACAAUGGGGGUAACCCUGAUCCAGCCAUGCCGCGUGUGUGAAGAAGGUCUUCGGAUUGUAAAGCACUUUAAGUUGGGAGGAAGGAUUUGCGGUUAAUACCUGCGAAUUUUGACGUUACCAACAGAAUAAGCACCGGCUAACUUCGUGCCAGCAGCCGCGGUAAUACGAAGGGUGCGAGCGUUAAUCGGAAUUACUGGGCGUAAAGCGCGCGUAGGUGGUUUGUUAAGUUGGAAGUGAAAGCCCCGGGCUCAACCUGGGAAUUGCUUUCAAAACUGACAGGCUAGAGUACGGUAGAGGGUAGUGGAAUUUCCUGUGUAGCGGUGAAAUGCGUAGAUAUAGGAAGGAACAUCAGUGGCGAAGGCGACUACCUGGACUGAUACUGACACUGAGGUGCGAAAGCGUGGGGAGCAAAC
rnacentral:rRNA from 1 species